rnacentral:rRNA from 1 species
GACGAACGCUGGCGGCGUGCUUAACACAUGCAAGUCGAACGGAAAGGCCCUGCUUGCAGGGUACUCGAGUGGCGAACGGGUGAGUAACACGUGGGUGAUCUGCCCUGCACUUCGGGAUAAGCUUGGGAAACUGGGUCUAAUACCGGAUAGGAGCCAUCUUUAGUGUGGUGGUUGGAAAGUUUUUUCGGUGUAGGAUGAGCUCGCGGCCUAUCAGCUUGUUGGUGGGGUAAUGGCCUACCAAGGCGGCGACGGGUAGCCGGCCUGAGAGGGUGUACGGCCACAUUGGGACUGAGAUACGGCCCAGACUCCUACGGGAGGCAGCAGGGGGGAAUAUUGCACAAUGGGCGCAAGCCUGAUGCAGCGACGCCGCGUGGGGGAUGAAGGCCUUCGGGCUGUAAACUCCUUUCGCUAGGGACGAAGCUUUUUGUGACGGUACCUAGAGAAGAAGCACCGGCUAACUACGUG